CCCUGCGCGCGGCGCAGUUUGGCCCUCGGCGGCCGCCGUCGCGGCUGACCCGGGCCGGAAGCGCGGGGCUCUUCCGGGCGGCGGCGGCGGCGGCGAUGGCUCCGGACCCCUGGCUCUCGCUGUACGAUGCCACCUGCCAGAUCGCCCAGGAGAUCGCCGAGAAAAUCCAGGAGCGUAACCGGUACCAAAGGAAUGGGGAGAGUUCAGCCAAGCUCAAUGUGAUUAUCAGAUCGUCAUUGCAGAAUCUCAGAGAGAAGAUCGAUCAGCUGAAGGACUUACUGCUUCGGGCUGUGUCAACACACCAAAUCACCCAGCUGGAGGGAGACAGGAGGCAGAAUCUGGUGGAUGACCUUCUCACACGACAGAAACAACUCCAGGCAUCUUACAAGAAUGAAGGCACAGAACCAGAUGUGAUAAGAUCUAGCCUAAUGACGGGAGGGGUCAAACGAGGUGUAACCAACCCGUGGCUCAUGGAAGAAUCUGAGGAAACCAGAGGGCUUGGCUUUGACGAUCUCAGGCAGCAGCAGCGAAGGAUCAUAGAAGAACAAGAUGCUGGACUUGAUGCUCUUUCUUCAAUCAUAUCCCGGCAAAAGCAAAUGGGGCAGGAAAUUGGGAAUGAGCUGGAUGAACAGAAUGAGAUCAUCGAUGACCUCACUAACCUGGUUGAAAACACAGACGACAAGCUUCGCAACCAGACGCGGCAUGUGAAGAUGGUGGACAAGAAAUCAACGUCCUGUGGAAACCUUCCUGUCUUUCAACUGCCCUUCUUCUAAUCUGGUUCUCAGGUCAAUGCAAGAGGUUAAUGAAUUGCGUAGACUUAGAGAUGUACAGUCAAGUGUGUAUUUAUGCGGCAUCUUACACUGUUGGAUUGAAACCUUCAAACCACUGCCAAAGGUAGGAGGCUACCUCCACGCAGACCGGCGAAGCAUUGGAGAUCUUGGAGUGGGAGCACUGGUUGAAGGCUGCAACAAAUUCGUUUGAGCUAUUCCUCUGGCUGUUGCGGUUCACGUGAGGUUGGGUUUGCACAGCGUAUAUCGCUUUUUGAGAGAAUAUGGGAUUUCUUUGCAAUUGCGCUUGGAAGUAGUUCAAUAUACUAUCUGGUGUGCAUUUGUAAUUUAAAAAAUAGAUUUAAAAAGAAGCAAAUUGAGGUAUAACAAUAAUGGAUUAAGAGAAACACUUAUCUCACUUCCUUUCAUUCAGCCGGGCUGCGCAUGUGGUUUGGGACCCAAAUGCUCAGGAUUAUUUGAUUGCUGAAGCAAUAAAUGUUUUGGAUGUAAACUCACUCCGUGCUGCUGCUUCUGGGACCGAAUCUGACAUUUGUUUUCCGAUAGUGGUGUUUUUAUCUUGCUGUUAUUUAGCCACACUUUGUUUGCCAACAGAUCAUGCUGUCAGUAAUGUAAGGGAUCUUUAUGCCCUGAUCAAAGGCUUGUAUUAACAAACUCAUUUGUGUGCCCAAGAGCAAAGCAUAGCUCCAACCUGACAUGGCAAAACCCACAAAAAAGCAAUUUUUUAAUAUGUGAAAUAAUGUUGACUGAGGAUUUAGUGUGUAUGAACGAAGUCUACACCUUUGACUCGGAUAAACCCUUUCUUCAGGUUAAUCUAGCAUUGCCUGAAUAGCUCCAAAUGUGGAAUAACUCAUAAAAUAAAGAGUUUUUUCAUCUUACAUAGGAGUGACCUAGGUUUUUCUUUCUUCCAAAUAAGGAAUUAAUAAUGCAAUAGUUGUUUCCAAAGAGCUCAGCUUUUUUGAGAAGUGUCUUUUUUUUUUUUUUUUCUCCUCUAGACCCAGUGAAACACAUGGGUGUUUGGAGCCUUUAAUAACUGUUCGCAGAGCCUGUUCUUGAUUUCCCUGAGAAUUGCCAAUGAUUUUGAUGUCAGAGUUGAGAGGUACAAUUGUAGUGUUAAAUUUCUCAAGUCAGACCAGUUGAAAAGGAAGGUCAAAAGCAAUAACGUCCAGGUUCCUCUGGGUGGGUGGGGGCGUAGGAUAAUGUGCGAUCGCAGCGUUUUACACAGACGUAUCGCCCAAGAAAAAGUUUGGCUGUCACAAAACUAAUAAAGAACAAGCCUCCAGAGAGAUGGUUUCAAUGAUGCAGGUGUAGGAAUCGGGGAGUGUAUUUACAUACAAGCCAGCUUAAUAGCGUGGGAUUUAUGCUAAAGUGGUUCUUAAUGCAAUACAAAUUGAAUAUCCCAUCUCACUCGAAACGAGGAAAAUGUUAGAAGGAAAGAUAUUUUUUUUAUAGCUUUUGGGGGAGAAAGUGUUUGGCUUUUUUUAGGGAACAUAAAGGACAGCAAGAUGGAUUUCUUCGGGUGCUUGCCAUGUUAAACUAGUGCUUUAGGUAUGUGUGUCGGGUUCGGAGCCAGCCUUCCAAGUUGGUUCUCUGCUGCCUUGAAGAUCAGGGGUUUGAACAGAUUUGGGCAGGGUUUCUGCCAUAUAUCUGGCAACACGGACUUAAAAUUAACUUACUGAAAAAGCAGAUAAAGUUUGUUGUGUUUUUUUUUUAAAACUGUGACAUUAAAAAGAAGUCCUUAAAGGAAAGCAGCCAUGGCUCUACAGCCUGUUGUUGAAACUCCCAUCUUUUCCCUGCUUCUCUCCUACCCUAUAAAACAACUAUUAUGUGUUUAUAAGUUAGCGCACGGUGUCAUUUAUGAAAGAAGACUUAUUCAUAAACUUCUGGAUAGACAGUUCUGUGGGAAUAUAACUUUCUUGGCAUAAAACAAGCCGCUUUUUCCAGAUAAUGUAAUGCUAUACCAGGGCCUUUAAAGUCAUAGCAUGCUAUUUAUUAUUGGUUUAUAAUCUAUAAAAGACACCGGUGCUGAACCUUCAGCAUUACUGAGAAUGACACUGUACCCAAAUCAGCAGAAAAGGUAGGGAGAACCCCAAACAAAACUCCUGUUCCCAGGAACAGUCGCUGACAAGGUGCUGAAGGAUGCUCAGGGCUUGUUGCAGGGCAGCUUUCCCCGUGCCUCCCCUCUGCAGGCAGCAAGCACCGGUGAAAUUGCAAGUAGGCACAUCUCAUUUUUUGGGUGGGAUUUGCCAGCUGCAAGUUAGACAUUGUUGAAACGGACUUGGAUGUAACCUUUCUGGUUUUGAAGUCAGGGCAGAUGACUUGGACACCACGCACACGCACAAGCCUUAGAAAUUUUUUUUGAUGGGCUGAAAUUGAAGUAAUAAAGAUACUUCAAUAGCCAGGAACCAGCAAGCAGCCAACGUGUGGCUGUGUUUGCUUGCCAAAUAUGCUCAAUAUUCAGAAAGAGCACUGAGCCCACAAAGGCGUACAGCCCACCCAAGGGACAGCCGCUGCCCGAGUCUCCAGGUUUGCAGCUGAUGCAGAUUUGGGGUGACACAUGGGGGUCACGUUGGUCAAGUCCAUGUCCAAAAGGCUGUUGCUGCUCCCUAGUUGGGAGGAGCUGCCCUGCUCUCAGAGCAGUUUGCUUUGGACCCAAACAAGAAACCGUGGCUAUGCACCCCCAUGAAAAGGAGACGUCAUUCAUUAGCAUAUGCUCAUUAUUUACUUACCCUAUUUAUAAGGACCAUCGGAUACUCAGUGCACUAAUUAUAGCAGCAAGGACUGGAAGAGAUUUCCUUGCUCAUUGAGUCCAGACCUCAGCUAUCAGAGACAGAUCCCCUCUGCACUUGCUUUCAAAAACCCUCCUAGUAUUCUUUGAAAGCUUUUAGGAUGUUCUCCCUAGUGACUAGGUAUUUCCAGUGGCAGCCCAAGCUGGGCUGAUGCUCAGAGGCAGCAGGGGAUGAUGGUAUCUUGAUGUGGCCGUGUUGUGUCUGUUACUGACGGGUUUGGGGUUGAGCAAAGAAGCGGACCUGGUGUUCAACUGGAAGAUGCCUCCAAGGCAGAAGAACAGAUCAGUGUUGCCACUGGAGACCUUUAACGAGACCUGUGAAACCCUGGGUGCAUCAGCCACUACCUGCUCUUUGCCAUCCCUACCUUCAGCUGGAUGCUGGUGUGAGUGUGGGCAUCGCUCUUGAAUUUCAGGGUUGUGGCUGGAGCACGUUGGGGAUGCCCUGGUGUGCUGGGCAGCCGUGUGAAGCAGCAUCAAGCACCUGUUCCACGUGCACAGCAGUGCCUGGCUGCCAGGGGGCUGCAAGAGAAGAGCUGAAGUGUUGCUAACGUUACUUGUGCUGUUAAACAAGGGUAUCCUCAGUCCCUAGCAUCUACCUUGCCAGUGUGUGUUUAAAUGUGUAAAAAUGAUCCCAGGAUCUUGUUACUGGAGCAGGGGAUGCCAAGGAGGAAGGUGCAACUGUCUCCUCUGCAGGGGCUGCCCGGUGUGAAGUUGUAAUGCGAGACACCGUGUAGAAACCUGCGUGCUCUAAUUGAUAACACAUUACAUCUCGAUGGCUAGCACUCUGUGGCUAGGGAGUGAUUUUAAUGGUAAAUCAAUAGUCUGAUAGAAGCAGACCAGAAAUCUUUUGACACUUAUUCAAGAGGGACUUGUCAAAACACGAUGUAUUUAUGACCGAGUUCCUGCCUGCCUGUUCAAAGGCACUUGAGCCCCUGCCAGAUCCUAAACACGCUCAGAUUCCCAGGAGUUAUAUUCAGCACAAUAAGUGGAUAUUUCACUGUAAAUAUUGCCUUGUCAGAAAGCUGGCAUAAGCACCCAGUUGACAAGCAACAAUUGGCUGCUUUGUGUGGGUGCUGCGAGGGCUCGUCUCUCCACCGGCGGCAGAGCUUGUGAGCAGCGAUUUCUGCUGGGCUCCAGCCGUUGUGAGCAUUAGGAAUUAAAAAUGCUCUAAAGAAAACUGUGGAUUGUUGAGUCUCAGCUGCCUCCAUCUGAACAGUCAGCAGAAGGAACUGGAAAGUCUCGAUGAUUAAUCACAAACACAAAAGCCGGCUGCUGGCUGACGGGAUGCUGGUGGUGAUUGUGCUGCUGCUGAUUGCGAUUGCCGUGGUCGCUGUCUGGCCAACGCAGUAAUGCAGAUACGGGGCCGUCGGAGCUGCUGCUCAACAGCUGAGCGCGGAGGACUCCAGAGAAGAGACCAAUUUUGUGCAAAGACCUUCUGUGUUUUAAAUAAACUCCACGGUAUCAGAAUGAAGCUGUGUCCGACAGACAUCCGUUCUUCCUUCGGCGCCCAGCUGAAGAGCACUGCGUGAUUUGGAGGGUUUGAACUUGAAAAGGACUCUUUUCCCACCUUCGUUUGGCACUGGCGAGGCUGCAGCUGGCGGCACAAUAGAUGCACUUCUCCGUGCAUCUGCGUCUGAGCUCGCGCUGGUGCCUGCCCGGCCCGCUGCCGCCUCUGCUGCGCGGCCGCUCAUCCCGAGGGCUUUCAUCGAUGAAAAUAAAGGUGGGCUUUGGGCGUACGGUGGCGGCAUUCCUCUGCUUUCUGAUACCUUGGGAAUAGAAAAUGCUUGCAUUUUUCAAGGAAUAGAUGUGUUGGGGAAUGACUGCACCUGGACUCUUGCAGGGUGGGAGGCGAGAGCAUGCGGAGCCCUGUGGCGAGGCGCAGGACCCCCACGAGCUGCACAGAAACGCUGGCGAGUGAGUCAGUCCUCAGCCCCUGGAGGGGAGUUAUCGGUGUUGAUCUCCACAGAUAGAAAUGUAAACAGCAGCGGGUCUCAAACCAGGUGUGUAGGAGUGGAAAGCCUUGCCCAACAUGUGCUCAUGAGGAAGGCGUGCUGUCCGCGUGCUCUGCCGUGCUCUGCCAGGCUGACCGCAGGAGAUGCGCUGGCAUUAACGUACUCAGCUCGGUGACUGAGGUCUGCCUCUUUUCUUUUAUAACUUUUCACACGCUGUUAAAACUGAGAGGAAGGAUUACCUAUGUAAAAACUAAGGAAAAAGAAGUAUUGAAUGUUUGCUUCUGGCCAAGAAAAUCAUUAUUUUGUUACACGUGCCAGUUUGAUUUCAGAAUUGAUAGAGCAAGCAAUAAAUACUGAAUAAAAGCUGAUCCAUUUAUAUACAAUA